UACAGAGGGUGCGAGCGUUAAUCGGAAUUACUGGGCGUAAAGCGUGCGUAGACGGCUAUCUAAGUCGGGUGUGAAAGCCCCGAGCUUAACUUGGGAAUGGCGCUUGUGACUGGCAGGCUGGAGUGUGGCAGAGGGAGGUGGAAUUCCACGUGUAGCAGUGAAAUGCGUAGAGAUGUGGAGGAACACCAAUGGCGAAGGCAGCCUCCUGGGCCAACACUGACGCUCAUGCACGAAAGCGUGGGGAGCAAACAGG
rnacentral:rRNA from 1 species